UACGGAGGGGGCUAGCGUUGUUCGGAAUUACUGGGCGUAAAGCGCACGUAGGCGGGGCGGUAAGUUGGGGGUGAAAGCCCCGGGCUCAACCUGGGAACUGCCUUCAAGACUGCAGUCCUGGACUAAGGCAGAGGCGAGCGGAAUUCCGGGUGUAGAGGUGAAAUGCGUAGAUAUUGGCAGGAACAACAGUGGCGAAGGCGACCUGCUGGGCUAGUAGUGACACUUAAGCGCGACAGCGUGGGGAGCAAACAGG
rnacentral:rRNA from 1 species